GUUUUAAUUAGCAUUAUUUUCUUUGAUGAUUUUUGAUUACCCUUACAGCCCCUAAGCACUUUGGCAGGGAUACGGUGGGGAAAGUUACCGUAAAUCAAAUUAUGAAUUUUAUUGCUCUAAUUGGAGUAGAAAUCCACAGCAUCAAUUAAAUUCUCAUUUCUUAUUCCCCUGGCUCAUGAUCCUCAUUCUAGGUGUGUAUAAAAUCUCAGUGUGGUACAAUGAUGUAAUUCCUUAAGCAGCAGUGCCCUGGUACAUUAAUAACAUCCUGGUUAGGAGAAGCAGGAGUGUAAAACCAUACUGGGAACAGCACCUCCGGGCAUUGUGAGAACCUAAACUAUGUCUUUUUCCUUCUUGUCUUUCCACAUCACCUAGCUCAGGCCAAGGAACACAGAAGGAGUUUAAGUGGUUCCUAUGGAGACACUGAUGCUUGAUCUCCCUUGUUAUCUCCAAAUUCAGUUGCUCAUGGUCUGUCACAACUUGGCAGAACUGAGAGAGGAUGACCCGCAGAGGAGCCUUGCGUGAGCCGUGCUAUAGAUGACAAGACCCCAUCUGCUCGUGAGCCUGAUCUACUGCCUCACCCAAGGGUCAGAAACAAAGCAGAUGCUGGACACAGUGGUCAAUUUCAGAUUUCAGAAGCUACAAUCAUGGUCAUUUAAGAAGUAGGAUCCAGUGUAUUACUAUUACCGAUGGGUGGCUGCAUAGAAGUUUACAGGCCUGGGAAAAGCCAGGUGGGUACCCGGAGCCCAUCAUUUUAUUUUUUCAAAGAGAAUCAAUACAAGGGAGUAUUACCAAGUUGGCCACCGCUAUAGGAGAGUUAACAAAAGCCAACCUACUCUCCAGUCCUGUAAGUAUUAUUCCCUGUGUGCCAUUCAAUUGCUACAGCCGCAAUAUAAUCCAGUAUCUCACUUCCAAUCAAUGUCCUAUCUGAAUACAUCACAAGUUAAAAACAACAAUAACUACUAAUUGUGAUCCUACUGCAUGCCAUGAGGUCCU
rnacentral:lncRNA from 1 species